CUUCUAGUGAAAUCGUUCUUUCCUGGAAUCCGCAUGUGGGGCUUGGGGGCUCCCCGGAAUCUGAGCUCCUCUGUGGCUUGGGUCACUGUGGGAGCUCACUGCUAGCAGGAGACGCCCCGCCUGGAAGGGCAGGGAUCUGUGCCUGGGCUUUACCCAGAGGCCUGCUGGGCGGGGCUGGCGGCCUCCUGGGGCCUCAGCUUACCCAGCUAUAAAACUAAAGGGCUCUGCCCACUCCCUCCUUGACUCUAGCUUCUCUCUGAAAGCCUCAGGGGCAGGCCCCUGUAUACACUUCUGUGCAAGCGCGGGCACUCACUGCAGAUGCGGCUGGCCAGUCAGCUUCCUCCUGUGUCCUCCCCACCCGCAAACACUGGAAAGCUAAGCCCGCACCUCGCAGAUCCUCUGCGCGCAGGCCGUCCUGUUCCGCUUUCAGACAGAUGAGGUUCCCUGCAGCCGAGCCCUGCCUGACUCCUAAGAGAACCCUGGUCCGAAGACAGCUGUGAGGAGCCUGGCCCGCAUUCAGGGGCGAAUUCGUGUUGCGAUCCCGGCCACCACGUCACAGGGACUGAUGUGGCUGGCUGGGUCCUUGACCUUCUGCUGUAUGCCUCACUUCUCUUCCCCUCUGGAACCCGGUUGCUCACGUCCAACCCGGAAGGGGCAGUGGCUGAGAUGGAAGGGGAGGAAAACCUGAGAGGGGACCCUGUACCUCUGGGCUCUGCAUGGUCUUCAACUCAACUUACCCCCAACAUGAAGUUCGUGCGGAAUGGAAGGUUCAAGAAGUCUCUUUUCCAGGAGACUGCAGUCUUUCUUAAUCACCAAAAGUUUGCCUUAGGGUUCAUCGAGAAGAUCCAACCAACAUUUUCAGAUGGGUGUAGGUGUGAGAGUCAGAUCUCUCCCACAUGGCUUUGAAGACCCCAGCAACAGUCAGCUUCCACGGCGUGUGGGGCUCUGGGCUUGGGUCAGAGGGCUGGCCCCAGGCUCCUGUGGGGAUACCCCGCUCCCCCACCUUUCCCCCAGGGACCCCUUUGUGGCUCCCAACAUGCUGUCCUGCAGAAAGCUAAUGUUGGCCGCAUCUGUUCCUUGGGCUGGUCAAUUCCCGUGUUAAGAAUGGGUGGCUCAGUCGGUUAAGCGUCCGACUUCGGCUCGGGUCACGAUCUCAUGGUUCGUGAGUUCGAGCCCCGCGUCGGGCUCUGUGCUGACGGGCUCGGAGCCUGGAGCCCACUUCGGAUUCUGGGUCUCCUUCUCUCUCUGCCCCUCCCCGCUCUCACUCCGUCUCUGUCUCCCUCAAAAUAAACAUUAAAACAACUUUUAAUUAAAAAAAAAA
rnacentral:lncRNA from 1 species